rnacentral:rRNA from 1 species
AGAGCGAACGCUGGCGGCAGGCCUAACACAUGCAAGUCGAGCGGCCGUAGCAAUACGGCAGCGGCAGACGGGAUAGUAACACGUGGGAACGUACCCUUCAGUUCGGAACAACCCAGGGAAACUUGGGUUAAUACCGAAUACGUCCGUAAGGAGAAAGAUUUAUCGCUGAGGGAUCGGCCCGCGUCUGAUUAGCUAGUUGGUGAGGUAAUGGCUCACCAAGGCGACGAUCAGUAGCUGGUCUGAGAGGAUGAUCAGCAUCACUGGGACUGAGACACGGCCCAGACUCCUACGGGAGGCAGCAGUGGGGAAUAUUGGACAAUGGGCGCAAGCCUGAUCCAGCCAUGCCGCGUGGAUGAUGAAGGCCCUAGGGUUGUAAAGUCCUUUCGGCGGGGAAGAUAAUGACGGUACCCGCAGAAGAAGCCCCGGCUAACUUCGUGCCAGCAGCCGC